rnacentral:rRNA from 1 species
GACGAACGCUGGCGGCGUGCUUAACACAUGCAAGUCGAACGGAAAGGCCCUGCUUUUGUGGGGUGCUCGAGUGGCGAACGGGUGAGUAACACGUGAGUAACCUGCCCUUGACUUUGGGAUAACUUCAGGAAACUGGGGCUAAUACCGGAUAGGAGCUCCUGCUGCAUGGUGGGGGUUGGAAAGUUUCGGCGGUUGGGGAUGGACUCGCGGCUUAUCAGCUUGUUGGUGGGGUAGUGGCUUACCAAGGCUUUGACGGGUAGCCGGCCUGAGAGGGUGACCGGCCACAUUGGGACUGAGAUACGGCGCAGACUCCUACGGGAGGCAGCAGUGGGGAAUAUUGCACAAUGGGCGGAAGCCUGAUGCAGCAACGCCGCGUGCGGGAUGACGGCCUUCGGGUUGUAAACCGAUGUCGCCUGUGACGAAGCGUGAGUGACGGUAAUGGGUAAAGAAGCACCGGCUAACUACGUG